UAGCUGGGGGAAGACAGUUGACUCAUUUGCUCUCUCCUUUCACACAGUCAGCUGGCCCUCUUCUCAGGUGUAGAUCACCUAUUAUCAUUUCACCUGUUUUGAUUCUCUGAUGAGGAAAAUCCCAGGACUUAUCAGCUGGGAUAGGCCUCAUUUACAAGACAGCUCUGUUCAGUGUCUGGAAGAAAGCCUGACAGGUUUCUCCGGAAAAGUGGCCAUCCAUGGAAUGAAUGAAAUGUUCCCUUUCUAUUCCAUAAUCGCUACCCCCAACAUGGGGCUAGAACCCAUGAUCCCGGAGAUUAAGAGGCGCACACUCUUCGCAUUGAGCCAAGCAGGCUCAUAACAAGAAAAUUUUAAAAGACGCCAUCGAUGAACGCGCCCCUAGGCCUUGUUCCCGGCUCCUCCAACUCUCCUCUUAGUCGUAGAAACACACCUGUCUCUAGAACCAGGUGUCCGCCUUGGCAUAAAACAAAGGCCCGGGGAAUCUGAGAGUUCCCGUUUCCCGCCAGGGGAUUGCAGUGGCAAAGCUAGGCUAGGUCUUGGAGGCUGGUGUAAGGCGAAGCGGGUGAAGGCAGGAGGCUGAUGGAGAGACUGGGGGGAAGAAAAGCCGAAAUGGAUUCACGGUGCCUUGGAUGGAGGACGAGAGGGGAACUGCAAGCUCCUUCAACUCGUUCUGUCCGGUGAGAAGUGAUCAAGCUUGGGCUGACAAGAGGCUCAGGAAGCCCUCACGUUCUUUCGCUUUUUUACCUGCCAAUCAAACUGCUACAAGACAACACCCUGAUCUGGCAUGGACAUCGCGGGUCCAAGCCUGUAGUCCCAAAUCGGAUAUCUCUGCAGCUGAUAACGAGCAAAAGAGAAGCCAGGCAACAGCCAUAUUAAAGAAGAAAACAGUCAACUCUGAGGAUGCCACCCUGAAAGUUUUAUUUUCUCCAGGAAGGUACAGUUGUCUUUGAGAGUCCUAGCCUGUGAACACAGUCUGUAAAUGUGAUCAUCAAGCAAGACGGAGCUGCCAAGAGGGAAGAUUUUGAAUGUUUCUCUCUCCUACAACCCUUCCCAGCGCCCCUCUUCCUUCCGGGGGUGCUUCCCUCUGUUUUCCCCUUUCCCCAGCACUGUUGAAAAUGGCUCCCAAGCAACACCUCGGUAGCUAAACCAAUUGUCCUGGGAAGUUGUUGAGCUGGCAUUUCAUCUGAGUCCUUUGUAAAAAUUAGAUUUUCUUUGAGUAGGGACGAGUGUCCUUUUGCGAGAGGGGACAAGGGAGAGUCCAAGCAGAGGGGGAGGGGAUGAGCAGUUUAUACACAUAUAUACUCUUUGUGUUCAAAGGCCUCCGUGUCUUGGCUUCUCACUAUGUUAAAUCCCUAUUAUAAAACUUAUCUUCACAAAGCCUAUUAUAGUAUUCUGAGAACAAAUUGGACCAUGAAUAACUUAGUUGGAAGUGUAGAUUAUUUUCUGCUCAGGGAAAGUUAGAGAUGACAACAGCUUAACUAAAAGAAUAGUGAUUAAUCUUAAAUAGAUGGAUUUCAAAGUUUCACUCUUGCUAAAGAGUACCUUUGAUAUUUCCCCUCUUCAGACUCAUGUUUCCACUUUCUUUGUAUUAAGAAUUGUCCCAGUGAUUGCACUGUCCACCUAAGACAGCAUGACUCUAACUGUAGACCUUUUUCUUACAGGUUGUUAAUCUGUCAGAGAGGUGAGCAGAAAGACACUCUACUGUUGAUUAAGGAUAUGGUUCCAAAGUGUUACCUGUGCUGAGACAUCAAACUCUCUGUUAGAAAUAAUAUCUGGCAUAAAUCAAAAUUUCUCAAUUAGACAAAAUUAUUUAAAAACUUGUUAAGUUUGUUUAAUGCUCUCCAGCUUACAGAACACUUCUUAGUUCGUAAUUGUGUUUGAUCCUUAGAAGACUGUUAUGAUAUAAACAAAUAGCAUUAAUCUCAUUUUGCCAAGGAGUACACUGAGUCACUUGCAUGCUGUGAUCCAGCUGAUAGCUGGAAGAACUGGGCUACCAACUCAGAUUUUAUAGCUUCUGUUUUAAGUGAUUAACCUAUAGCCAUUGGCAUUUAAAUCCUUUUUGUGUCCUACUCCCUAAAAAUUAAGAUUUUUUUUUUUUUGUAUUAAGGAGCAAAGUUUUUCUAUUUCACAAAUAUAGAAGUUAAAAGACCAGACUGGGAAAAAUUCUAUUCCCUGAAAAGUAAAUGUCAUGAAUUAUGAUUUUGCUUUGUGUGUGUGUGCGCAUGCGCAAGCGUGUGUAUAUGUGUGUUUCAAUAGUCUUUCAGAGAUGAAAGUCUUAAUUUCUAAAAGCCAAAAUGGACAUCCCUAUAUAAAUUAAUAACUGCCUGGAAUUUUUAAAAUGUACUUGAAAACCAUAAAUUGUUUCAAAAUAGAAUAUAAUGACAAAUAAGCCUUUAGAAGCAUGAUCUGCCUAUAAAGUACUUGAGAGCAUGGCACUGAUUAAGUUCUAGGGUGCUAUAAGUGAGGUUCCCCCCCUUUUUUUUCAGUUUCAUUGAGAUAAAUUUGACAAAGUAGUAAGACAUUUAAAGUAUAUUUGAUAAACAUAAACAUUGUAUAAGUAUUCCUCCUGUCUGGUUAAUUAAAACAUCUAUCACUGCACAUGUUUGCCCUUUUUUUUUUUUUUUUUUUUUUUUUUUUGGUGAGAACAUGUAAGUUUUACUCUCUUGACCAAACUCAAUUAUUCAUUGCAGUGUUAUCGAUUAUAGUCACCAUGUUAACCAUUAGAUCCCUAGGCCAUAUUCAUCUGAUAGCUGAAAGUUUCUACCCGUUUAUCAAUCUCUUCCUAACUCCUUUAUUCCUCAACCCCUGUCCUUCUAGUUUUUAUAGACCACUAUCUUUUAACAUUUUAGCAAGUUGGAAGAACAAAGUUGUAUAGGACUACUUUUGUUUCUCUUUGGUUUUUACGAUUCAUAUUUUUUAAAAAGUUUGCAAAGUACUCUAGGAAUAAUAAAUAAAAUGUUUAGUUAACUUGCUAUUGGUGUAAUCGAUCUAAACAAACAGAAAUCAAGAAAUACAAAAGGAUACUGCCAUGUGAUUCUUCUUAGGUUUUUAAUCACAUUGUUUUAAUUACAUAAUGAAGGCAGUGUGGAUGUUAACAUGGAAAUUAUUUGUUUAUUUCUUAAAUUGUAUGCACUUAAAUUAGUCAUUUUAUAUAUACUUAAAUUAAGGUUUUUGUCCUUAAAUUAAGCUGGCAGCCAGACAAAUCCAGUCAAGCUUUUUGGGAUUAGAUAAAAUAAAAAAGUG
rnacentral:lncRNA from 1 species